rnacentral:rRNA from 1 species
AGGACGAACGCUGGCGGCGUGCUUAACACAUGCAAGUCGAACGAGGCGCUUGCGCCUAGUGGCGAACGGGUGAGUAACACGUGAGCAACCUGCCCUUGGCUCUGGGAUAGCCUCCGGAAACGGGGAUUAAUACCGGACAUGACCUUCUCCUGCAUGGGGGAGGGUGGAAAGUUUUUCGGCCAGGGAGGGGCUCGCGGCCUAUCAGCUUGUUGGGGGGUAACGGCCCACCAAGGCGACGACGGGUAGCCGGCCUGAGAGGGCGACCGGCCACACUGGGACUGAGACACGGCCCAGACUCCUACGGGAGGCAGCAGUGGGGAAUAUUGCACAAUGGGGGAAACCCUGAUGCAGCGACGCCGCGUGCGGGAUGAAGGCCUUCGGGUUGUAAACCGCUUUCAGCAGGGGCGAAUUCAGACGGUACCUGCAGAAGAAGCGCCGGCUAACUACGUGCCAGCCAGCCGC